rnacentral:tRNA from 1 species
GCCUGGGUGGCUCAGUCGGUUGAGCGUCCGACUUCGGCUCAGGUCAUGAUGUCGCGGUGCGUGAGUUCGAGCCCCGCCUUGGGCU